rnacentral:misc_RNA from 1 species
GAUGAAGAACGCAGCGAAAUGCGAUACUUGGUGUGAAUUGCAGAAUCCCGUGAACCAUCGAGUCUUUGAACGCAAGUUGCGCCUCAAGCCAUUAGGUUGAGGGCACGUCUGCCUGGGCGUCACAUAUCGUUGCCUGAUGCCAGUUUCCUCGUGAUGGGUGACUGUGCAGGGCGAAUGAUGGCUUCCCGUGAGCAUUGUUGCCUCAUGGUUGGUUGAAAAUUGAGUCCUUGGUAGGGAGCGCCGUGAUAGAUGGUGGUUGAGUGACGAACGAGACCCAAUCAUGUGAGACCCCUACCGAAUUUGGCCUUCAUGACCCACCUGCGUCUUUGGAACGCUCAUGACGAGACCUCAGGUCAGGCGGGGCUACCCGCUGAGUUUAAGCAUAUCAAUAAGCGGAGGA